CUACUCCAAAGUACAUAUACUAAAAUUGGAACGUACAGAGAAGAUUAGCAUGGCCCCUGCGCAAGGAUGACCCGCAAAAUAGAAUGUUCAGAACGUGGACU
rnacentral:snRNA from 1 species